rnacentral:rRNA from 1 species
CGCGUAGGCGGACCUUCAAGUCGGGUGUGAAACCUGUCGGCUUAACCGGCAGCCUGCAUUCGAUACUGUAGGUCUUGAGUACGGGAGAGGAAAGUGGAAUUCCAGGUGUAGCGGUGAAAUGCGUAGAUAUCUGGAAGAAUACCAGUAGCGAAGGCGGCUUUCUGGACCGAUACUGACGCUAAAGCGCGAAGGCUUGGGGAGCAAACA